GCCUGAGGGUCAAGGAAGAGAACAAUCGGGCUAGCCGCAUCGAAGCCUGUCGGUGGGCCGACGUGCAGGCGAAAGUCUAAUAUACCGACUACGCUCGUAGAAGCUUAAAUUACGAUAUCUCUGGACGUGGGUUCGACUCCCACCGUCUCCACCA
rnacentral:tRNA from 1 species